UCCGUAGGGGCCGAGCGUUGUCCGGAGUUAUUGGGCGUAAAGCGCGCGCAGGCGGCCUCGCGCGCCCGACGUGAAAGCCCCCGGCUUAACCGGGGAGGGUCGUUGGGGACGGCGGGGCUUGAGGGCGGGAGAGGGUGGUGGAAUUCCCGGUGUAGUGGUGAAAUGCGUAGAGAUCGGGAGGAACACCCGUGGCGAAGGCGGCCACCUGGGCCGACCCUGACGCUGAGGCGCGAAGGCGUGGGGAGCGAACGGG
rnacentral:rRNA from 1 species